rnacentral:rRNA from 1 species
GCUGGCGGCGUGCCUAACACAUGCAAGUCGAACGCGAAAAUCCCGCAAGGGAUCUGUAGAGUGGCAAACGGGUGAGUAACACGUGGGUGACCUGCCUUCGAGUGGGGGAUAACGUCCCGAAAGGGACGCUAAUACCGCAUGACAUCCUGCCCUUGAACGGGUGGAGAUCAAAGCUGGGGAUCGCAAGACCUAGCGCUUGAAGAGGGGCCCGCGUCCGAUUAGCUAGUUGGUGAGGUAACGGCUCACCAAGGCAACGAUCGGUAGCCGGCCUGAGAGGGCGGACGGCCACACUGGGACUGAGACACGGCCCAGACUCCUACGGGAGGCAGCAGUGGGGAAUUGUUCGCAAUGGGCGCAAGCCUGACGACGCAACGCCGCGUGGAGGAUGAAGAUCUUCGGGUCGUAAACUCCUUUCGAUCGAGACGAACGGCUUCCGGGCUAAUCACCGGGAGAGUGACGGUACCGAGAGAAGAAGCCCCGGCUAACUCCGUGCCAGCAGCCGCGGUAAUACGGGGGGGGCAAGCGUUGUUCGGAAUUACUGGGCGUAAAGGGCUCGUAGGCGGCCAACUAAGUCAGACGUGAAAUCCCUCGGCUUAACCGGGGAACUGCGUCUGAUACUGGAUGGCUUGA